UUGGUCAUUUACCUGGAUGUGUAGGAGCCCUUGCCUAUGUUGACCACCCAUAGAACUCAAAUCUCAAAUUUGGCCUAACCAGGCAUUCGUUGCAUUUUUACUUAUAUAAUUCGUUAUUUAAUUUUCAUCAAUAUUCAUCGCUUUCGCUGACAACUCCAUAGAUCUUGCGAAGAACAGUUCUCUCGAGGCUCCAAGUGCUUUCUCGUUUCGCCUACGUCUAUGUUUCUGCGCCGUCUGAUAGGAAUGGAAUAAUGAGAGUCUUAUGGAACAUAAUUUUGUUAGUCGAGAGAGGGAUCUACUUCUCAAUCUGUUGGCAAGCGCUAUUAUGCGCAUGAUAUCCAGGCUUAGAUUAUUGAUAGAGUGUGUGCUGAUUCCGAGAUAAACAAGGUCUUCAACUUUUUCGAAUGUAUAACUAGCAACAGUGACAUAGUGCGCAAGACUCGAAUCUUACCAUCUUACUCUGUGGGCUCCAUGUACUUCGUCCUGUCUUCGUUCACCACAACACCAACCUCUUUCGCAUCUUUCGCUAGAUUGGAAAAGGCUGCGCUUCCGACUCUGUUGUUAGGGCUUACGAUGUCAAUAACCCAAUAUAUUUGUAUUUUUAGAGUAGACAGUGCUACUGGGUUCAGAUUAACAGUAGCACUGCGGUUCAGAUUAGCGGCCCAUAUCACUUUUACAGCUUUAUAUUGAAAUAGACGAACGUGAGGGAAUCACCCUCACAUCAAGCUUAGACAAUGGCGUCGAAAAGGCAACUCCUAUCAAUGCUGUCAAAAAAGUGACGGGUGUUAGGGGUAUUUUCCAAGAUUUAACGUUUUGUGAAAAUCUAGUCUUUGGUGGUUGUCAGGUCCAUAGUAACAUUUAUAAGGUCUUUGCAAUAUUAAGGAGGCUGAUACCACGAUAUUAAGCGCAGGCCUUGGCAUCUCUUUUCGUUUGUAUAGUGCAAAGUCCACUCAUAUUCCAACCAUGAGCAUGUAUUCAUCCGCCGCCUUUAUACAGCUUAGCCGGUAAUUCAUUGGCUCUUGCGACUUUGUUGUUCUAAAGCUGUUUCAGAGUUGUUUCUCAUCUUGGUCGAGUGGAGGGACGACAAUGUUGUCAGGGUAGAUUAUUGAUGCGGGUUGUUCUUCAUCCGUCAGGGCUGCUUUUGCGAUUUAACUGUUUCGAGAAGCGUUCCCUCCAAAUUUCGAGUGUACUCUGUAUGUCUGCUAUCAGUUUCCUUUACUGUCUUUACAGAAAACGUUCGCCUUUUCAGAUUUUUUCAAAAAAAUAUUAUAUUGCUCAAAAAUGUUUAACAAUUUCAUCACAAGAUCUAUUUAAGGAAUGAGCUUCAUUUGGCAAUUCUGGGUAUCCAUAGUAUUAGUUAUAACUCAACAACCCUUCCUUACUUGUUUAUGAACAAUUUUAACUCGCUGGAACAUAUUUGCUUUUCAUAUUUUUUCUGUUUUUGUUUUUUAAAUGCAUAAAAUUGGCUUGACGAUUCAUAAUUUCAUAUCCGUUAAUAUAACCGUUAAUAUAUCCGUUAGUAUAUCCGUUAAUAUAACCGUUAACAUAACCGUUAUCGUGUUCUACAAUCAUAUCAAAAAAACGAUAUUUUGCAUUUUAAAUCUGAUUACCUUGUAUACACAAAUAUAUAAAUAGUCGCCCAAAAACGAUAGUCACUAAUACAAAAAAUAACUACUAAAAUAUUUAUGUAAAUAAAAUAUCUGAAACAGAAAGCAAAGAUUCAAAUAUUAAAUUAUAAUAUAAUGUUAAGUGAAAACUGAUAUCUAUUAAACAAAUAUAUAUCUGCAAAUUUACUAAAUCUGUGCAUGAAACCAAAAUUGUUGGAAAAUCAUAUUCAAAAUUGACAAUCUUACUCAAUUCUCUCUACUAGACUAAGAAAUCUAACGCUAUGAAAAGUAUUUUCUAACUAAAAUCAAUUUACGGUUAUCUGAAAAUCCAUAGGAUAUUUAAAUACUGAGGCUGUUUCUUCUAUGUUAAUAUACUUACUUACUAUAUACUUAAAAUGUACAUAAUAUAAUCUACAAAGGUAUUAAAAUUUAGUCAAAAUAACACUUAUUAAUUAAGUAAAAAAAACAAAAUGCAGCUCUGCAUAAAUAUAGUAAACAAACGAGUUCAUAAAGAUAUCAAUAUCUCUAAGAUUUAUCUAAAUAUGAAAUGUCAGUUAUAAAACACAUCCUCGAAUCACAUUUCAAGUGCUUUCAAGUUUUAUCAAAUCAAUCGUUUAAGAAUAUUUUAAAUCAAUUGCCAGCCAAACAAACGAGACUAGACUAAAGCAGCGCUAGUAUUCUUUUUUAUGUUUUAAGCUAAGCUAAAACUUCUUAACGGCUUUCUACACCGCCUUCAUGAGCUUUAACGGCUUCACACCGACAAUUUCUUUCCGAACUGGUCCCUUAAAAUAAUCAAAUAGCAACUCAACCUUUUCUUAAAAUUAUUCGGCUACCAAGAGUUUGUUUCCAUAAACUCAUGUUUUCAUGAUACCGUUCGCUAUUCAACUAGAACCAUUUUGAAGUAAAAUAAUAAAUCAGGCGAACACAGUGGUUACGGUACGAUAUUGUGCAUUGGGCAAAAACCAAGACUUGUCGACUCAUAAUUCUGGCCUAUUUUUACGAAUAGCUUUGCGCAAACGACGCUCAGCCCUCAAAUAGUAUUUUUUGAGUUGUUUGACAGGUUAGAAUGAAUUCGGAGGUCAUCACAUCUUGAUAUUCGAUGAAAACUCUCCACAUAACCUUGAUUUUUUACCUGUAUGCCAGUAAUAACACGUUUCAUGACAUUCUGGAAAACAUUGUUUCAACGACGUUAACGAGCUUUCACCUUUCUUAGGCCGAAUUAUAUUUCAUGAAGCUUUGCACUGAUCCUUCCGAUAUUCCAACGGUGCCAGUAAGCUCUCUGGCUGUUAAUCGCCGACUCUCAAGCACCAAUUCAGUUAUUUUAUUGAUGUGUUCAUCAUCAGUUGAUGUUGAUGGCUAUCCUGGAUGAGGAUCGCCGUCAACGCGCUCUCGACCUUCUUAAAAUAUAGUUCUUAAAGGAAGAUGUACUCAAGUUCUGAUUAUUGAAAUUUCAAAUGUCAUAUGGUUCAAAAGUUACUUGGUCCGGUAAAUCUCAUAUACAUCGAGCUCUCUAUGAUUUGGGUGAAAAUGGUUACACAAAUCUGCCACAGAAAAAUUGACAAUUUUACAGAGAAGCUUAUUUAUUGUAUGUAUGUUGCUAAAGUGAUCUUAUCCGCUUUGUUGAGUAGUCCUAGUAUAUAUACUAUAUGUUGAUAACAUCCAGGAAAACCCCGCUUGCAAUGUUCGGGUGCAGAGUUCUGCCAAAAUUAUAAAUUCAACGCAAGUAUUUUGAGAUUUGUAGAGAUUUGCUAACUUCCAACGACAAAUAUCUUUGGAACAAAUCAAUACUUACUAAAGCCUCCGCCAAUAAUAGUGUCUAUAACAAUUGAAACACAAGGAUGAGGUGUAAAUAAAUUCAAGAUGACGACCUUGAAAUCGCAAUCCUUGUGACCAGGAUAUUUACGAUUUCACGAAUCAAUAUUCAAAGUUUUUCUUUAAAGUAUCAAAUCUUAUACAAAUAAUGGCAAAUCUCAUAAGUUUGAUGAAAUUAUCGAAGUGCCUACCAAAAGUCAAACAUUAUCAUUGUACAUACCUGUUUCUUUCGCUAUUACUAGCCACCACUUACCUCACCGGCAAAAAUAAACGCAGUUUGAAUUGAUUUGGUUUAAUUUAAUGUUUAGUUUAAUGUUUCGGUUUUGGUUUGUUUAAUUUAAUGUUUAGUUCGAUGGUUUGGUUUUGGUUUGUUUAAAUAAAAUACACUGUUUGGGUAAUCGGAUUCACUGCCACUUCGAAAUACGGAAACUGACGCUGCGACGUUUGCUCGGUGCGAGAUCGACGUUAAAAAAGGACGAUCGUCCUCUAGAGCGGUCGCUUUUGAUGGUUUGAUAGUGUAGAGUUGUGAUGUGAUGUCAGCAUGUGUGGUAUAUUCGUGUGUAGUAGUGUGUGGUGUCUUCUUCUUAGACACUUCUAAGAAAGCCUCUCCGAAACCUAUAAGUUUCAUCAUUCAUAAUGAUUUGUUUUUCAUUGAGUUAUAAAAUUCAUAAGAAAUAAAAAAUGUUCCCAAAAAUAAUCAAACUUAAACCGUUAAUAUCUUUUAAACGGUUGGGUUUACGAAAAAAUCAUUGGAGAUCUUUUUUGUAGAGCAUUCAAUUUCCUACAAAAUCUAAGGAACAAGAUAUUUUUUCAAGUAGUUGGAAGCGAGAUAUAAAUUUUUCUAUCUAAUAAUAAGAAAAAAUAGAAAACUGUAGGAAGGAGGACCUUCUCAUUACAAUUAAGAACUCAUGCUUGGAGAGGCUUUCUUAGAGGUGUCUAGGAACCUAUUUCUCAGAGUACCAAACGAAAAAAACAUUUUUUUUUAUCCACUCUAGUCUACAUAUAGCGAGCCUGUUCCUCAGACUAUUAAGAAAUCUGUCUGAAAAGUCCUUUUCUCACCAAGGAGCUGCUCAUUUGUCAGAACGUCCAACAUGGAAGAACAAUAACAUACCGUUGCGACACAAACUGACAGAUCAAACUGAAGUCCUUAUAUGGAAAACUGAGUCUACCGCACGUAAAGAAAUAUUCAAAAUGUGGCACAAUAAGCUGAGAGUUUUUCCAAGUGCGCUUUUUGCCGCGCUUAAUACGAUUGCUUUCUCUAAGCUCUACUGCCACUGUUGUAUAAUUGAGGAUUUUUAGUUUAAACGAUUGAUUUGAAAGUAGACCAAAUGCUAAUUGAUGAUUUUAACUGUUAUUGCAUACGCACAUACAUACAAACACCCACACAAGCAUAUAUUGCACAACCGAUAUAUGAAGAUCAAUGGUUUCUGUAAGAAAAUCAUGCAUUGAAGAAUAAUUUUAAUAUCAAAAACACAUAAGAACGUUGCUUGUCUCUACUAAAAUCUAAGAACGCCUUCACUUUCAAUGGCUGUCAAGAAAACUAUGCUAAUGAAAUUACGCAAUUUGAAACUAAAAUAAUAAAGCUAAGCUCUCUCACCAGUUUUUCGCUAAAUUAGCAUUCAAAAUAAUAUUCACGAAAAACUGUUUGAAAUCUUAAAAAAUCUAAGGAAAACCAAAAACUCAUCACACUUGAAACUAGACACAAUUUUAAUUGUGAUUUUUAAUGAAAAGCUAAUAUAUCAAUCAAAAGCGAGCUUCUUCAGCAAAGGAGCGCACACUCUCUGUGCUAACGGUACUUAAAUAUACCUACACAUAACCAAAAUAGUUAAAUAUGAAAUAUGUGAAUGUAAUGGAAAUACAAAUAAUUAACUGUAUAAAAGUAUAUUUAAUUGUUUAUAAAUGUUACUUAAGUGUUGUAGUUAAGACAAUUGAAAAUCUAAAAUAUAAGCCGGCAACUCUGAAGUUCUGAAAACAUCCAAACAAUAACAAUACUGAGUACAGAUUAGUGAAAAAUUAAAAUCUAGCAAAUUAUUACCAAACAAAAACAAAUAAAAUAUGAUUUCCCAAGCAUUUGCUCGAUUAACUGUAUAAAAUGUAAGGAAAGCAGUGGUUAUCUGAGACCCAAUUCUAUUAAUAUACUUGUAUAUAUGUUUUUUUACAUCCCCUCCUGUUUAGAGAAAUGAGUGCAUUAGGUUAGGUUACACUGGCCGGUUGGUACGACAUAUAUUGACUAACGGGUUCUUGGUAUUGCCUCAUGGAGGUUCAGUUUAAAUUGAGCUGAAGCAUUCCUCCAGACAGGACGUCUACGCUUUUUGCUAACUUUAAGACCGACUUUAUAUCCAAUUUUAGUACUCUAUCUAGUUCCUUGAACUGCGAAGCUCCUAGGUGUUCUAGAUACGGCUGGUUAGAAGCAUAAGUGUUCCAACGUCUUUUCCAUGACUUAUUUCCUGCACUUUUUGCAUGUAUUCUAGUUACCUAUGUCCAUUCGGCACACAUGUGAUGAAAGUAAGUUGUGACUUGUCAUUAGGCCAACAAGCGUCUUGUAAAAAGUAUGCGAGCAUUUCUAAAAUUUCUUUGUAUAUCUUUUUUAGUAACCUCCGCAUUUGCUGUACUUGUUCGGUAGCCAGACGGAUGGCACUUUUGGCAAUAUCAUCAGCUAUUUCGUUUUCCGGAAUUUCUUUGUGGCCUGAAAACCAGUGUAUAUUCAGCCGCUUUCCAGCAGGCACUACAUCCGCUGUCGCCCUGCUUCCAAGAACAUUCACUGACGUAAUGCAAUGUGAGAUAGCCGCCUAGCUUUCGACGUAUAUAUUUUAUCUAAUCCGCUCUCCUAAGCGCAAAGACUUCCAACUGAAAGAUACUGCAGUAUUCCGGAAGUUGGAGGAACAGCAUGAGAUACAGCUCCGAGCAAUAUGUAGAUGAGAUGCUGGCGCUCCCUUUUUGAUCCGUCUGUAUAGGUGUUGUAAGUUCCCUACAAUAUUUAUAAGUAGUUUAUUUAAUUUUCCUUUGAAAUCCAUCUUCAACAUUUAUUCAAAUUGAACCACCGAUCUAGCUCCCUUUUACUUAGUUCUUACUUAAUGGUCUCUUUCGAUAAAUUUUGGUCGUAAUGAGGAAGUAUUAUUUGGGUUUCAAUGUCGUUUAAACACUGCUCCAAAGGCACCUGUAAUAAUUCAUAUUUACAAGUUCUAUAUAAGGAACCUCUAGAUAACUCUAGAUGCUCCAAGUAAAAGACUUUUCGAUGAAGUAGGGUUUCCACAACACAAAUAGAUAAUUCAGUAAAAAGGUCUCUAUUAACUGAAAGACUUAACUUAAAAAAUCCAACAAGACUUCGACCAAAUACUUACUCACUUAUAAAGGGUGAUUCAAUUCGAGGUUUUCUACUUUUAUAAAGAAAAACCACAGAAACUUCUAAUUUAUUAAGGGAAUUUUUAUUAUCAUUCGAAAGAACAUUAUUUGGCAUUUAUUUUUGAAGAUUUCUUUUUCAAAUGUUGGCCGCAACUAUGUCUCAGAUAGUCCAUCCGUUGAGUCCAAUUUUCGAUACUCGUUCGAACACUUCGACUGGUAACUAACGAAUGACGCGCGUGAUAUUUUACUCCAAGGCCUGAAUCGAAGUGGGAUUGUCCGCAUAGACUUUAGACUUUGCAUUAUCCCAAUAGGAAAAAUUCUAACGGUGUGAUAUCACACGAUCUUGAUGGUCAAUCGACCGACCCAAAACAUAAAAUUAUCUGCUCAGCGAAGUGUUCUCUCAAUAAAUCCCUUGAUUGAUAUGAUGUGUAGGAAGUGACGACGCUUGAAAACGAAAUGUCGCCGAGAUCACGAGCUUCAAUUUUAGGCAUCAAGUAGUCGGUUAUCACGGUGCGAUAACGGUCAACAUUGACGGUUACGUUCUCACCGGGAUCAUUUCUGAAGAAAUAUGGACCGAUAAUUCCACCGGCUCACAAACCACACCGAACCGUUAUUUUUUCUAGAUAAAAUGGCAGCUCUUGAAUCUCUUCAGGUUGCUUUUCGUACCAAAUGCGGCCAUUUUGAUUCGGUUCUUCUUGGAAAUUUUAAAGAGCCCAUAGAGCGAAAGGAUUCCGCUUGAAAAGGUCGAUCGGCUACAGUUCUUGUACAAGGUGUAUUUCGUAUGCUUUCAAUUUAGGAUCAUGACAUAAAAUGCUCCAAGUCGUUCCACAAGUCAGUCCAAGUUGCUGCGAACGGCGCCGAAUCGACUCACCAUGGUCUUCGUGUACACUCUCAGCUACAGUCUUAGGGCGAAUACUAUUCAAUAAUGAAUGCUGGCUCUCAAGAUGGGUGAUGGUGUUGCGAAUAUAACGCUAGUAGACCGAUUAUGGUGCCCUUAAGUUGAGCGAAGCGCACAAAACACAUUCGUUACAGAAUGUGAAUGACCGCAUACAAUUAUAGCUGUCAUACAAACUGAACGAUCCAAUACAUGACCUUGUAUGGAAAACUUUUGUAUUUGACGAGAUAUCUCUGGCAUAGAUUGGGCAUAGAUAUUUGAAGCAACGGCACCUCCCUAUAGAUUAUUAUUUGAAGCAACGGUAGGUAGCCCUCCAAAAAAACUGCUUUCGUCCAAUGCCAUGAGGAAUGUUGUACAGUGUAAUUAUGCAAGAAAAUAAAAUUAUUUGUUAUGUUCAAAAUAUAAGUUUAAAGUUUAAAACCAGUACUAUUUAAAUCUACAUUACAUUAGUACUGCGUUAAUUUCCUCAGUAUCGAUUUAGUUCAUCUUUAUGAAUGAGCUAGUCACAUGUGAAAUAUAUCGCUAACCUCCUAGUACUUUAAGCAUCCACAUAAGUAUAUGUAAACUACAUAUAAUGUAUAACAUAUGUACAUAUAUACUAAGUUGUUGGUAUUGAUUUUGUAAAAUUUUGCGAAACGAUUGUCUCAAAAGCGUUUCAAACACGAAUAUGGUUGUGCUAAACAAUUUUCUACUGAAGAUUAUGACUAUGAGCUUGCCCCAAACAAUUGUUGUGUCAAUGCGAGUUCACUAUCUAGUCUACUACGUACAUAUAAAUUUACUAAUUAACUACAUAGCUGUAAAAUCCUACUACAUACAUAUACAUUUAUACUUAAAUGCUACAAUACACCACUAUUUUAUGUAUUGUAGUAAUGUUUUUAGGCCAUAAAUAAUAGUUUAUACUUAAACUUACCUGUAUACAUACUUAAUCUAUAGCUAUACCUAGUACUAUCGAACUGCAUAUACUCUUAUGUAUGUAUAUAAGUAUCUACUAUUUAAAUUGUUAAAAUAAAUUUAAUUUUUUAUAUAAAUUUAGCUUAUAUAUACAAUUUUGGUAUUUUGAAAAAAAAAAUUUUCUCAUAUUUUCUUAUAGAAACUGUUCAAAAUAUAAUUUUCUGUUUCGAGGAAAAUGGAUUUGGUAUGGAAUUAUGGAAAUACAUACAAAUUUAUGCUCUCUACAUUAUAUACGCACAUAAGUAUGUUAAAAAAGCAACUUUGUCUACAUUUAGGCUGUCAUUUUAGCGAAGACUCAUACCUUUUUAUAAUGUCUAGUCACUUUUUAGGCUUUGCCUACAUUUAUGCUGCUAUUUUUAGCAAAGACACAAACCUUUUUAUAAUAUCAAGGCUCGUAUUAGCCAUUAAUGCAAUCAAAAAUAACCAUUCGGAUGAGCUACAAAAAACCAAAGAAGAGAAUUUGCUAAUCAACCCUGUCAGACAGUACAGGGACAGUGACCAAAGCUUUGAGACAGUGGCCAGUUGAGACUCGAACGUUGCUUUCAAGCUCAUUUUUGUAGCAGUAAAAAGACAGUUUCAAGCAUAAACAUAAGUCUAACGUGAAAAGUCUUCAUAGAAACCAUUAUUGAUAGUGCUGGUAAAGGAGCAACCUUCGUUAAAAUAUGGUGCGUCGAGCUUCAAAAGCCUUCACAGAAGUUAUAUUGUUUCAAACGUACUGAUAUGUGCGGGAUUGUGAACUAGAAGGAAAGUUUCUUUGCAAUGGGUACUAAGACCAAGCGUGAAACCCUGAAUAAGCCAAACAGCAAUCUCAUACUCAUCCAACUAGAAGUGAAUACCUCGUGAGGUAUAUAAUUUUCAAGUCUUCGUUGUAAAUUUGUAUGCCAUAAUUCACUGAAAUCCAUUUUUCUUUUAUACUACUAUAUACAUAUAUCUGAGAGGUUUAUCUAUAUUAUCUGAAAGAAUUUAUAAAACCUUUUCAAAUGUGCAGCAAAAUUGUUAAAAAUUUUGUUGUUAACUUUUUAUUUGACAUUUCUUCAACAAAUCAUGUUGACACUGUAAAAAAAUAACACCAUAAACGAAGGCGAACAGUCACAUAGUCACCGAGUGAUCACAAAACGAUCAAAUAACUGUAUUUAACGAUUGGAAAAGGUGUGUUACAUAAAAAUGUUUCAUAAUCAAAUAAACGAAUACUUCAUGAAAACAAAAAACAGAAAUAUUUUUUGUAGUGUAUAAAUAAAUAUUAAUCAGUAUAAUGACCAUAAGUGUGACACUCAGCCAAGGCAUACUUAUCUAAUCAUAUAUGUAAAUGUAGCUAAUAAAGAAAAUAUGUUUACUAGGCAAUAAGACAUAUGUAUUGAUGGCUUAAAAGCAUACACACAAAAAAUUUAAAUUAAAUAAAGUGAAAUUGGAAAAAUA